rnacentral:rRNA from 1 species
AUUGAACGCUGGCGGAAUGCUUUACACAUGCAAGUCGAACGGUAGAGGGGGCAACCCCUUGAGAGUGGCGAACGGGUGAGUAAUAUAUCGGAGCGUGCCCAGUCGUGGGGAUAACGUAGCGAAAGUUACGCUAAUACCGCAUACGAUCUAAGGAUGAAAGCGGGGGACUCGCAAGAGCCUCGCGCGAUUGGAGCGGCCGAUAUCAGAUUAGGUAGUUGGUGGGGUAAAGGCUCACCAAGCCAACGAUCUGUAGCUGGUCUGAGAGGACGACCAGCCACACUGGAACUGAGACACGGUCCAGACUCCUACGGGAGGCAGCAGUGGGGAAUUUUGGACAAUGGACGCAAGUCUGAUCCAGCCAUUCCGCGUGCAGGAUGAAGGCCCUCGGGUUGUAAACUGCUUUUGUACGGAACGAAAAGGUUUCUAUUAAUACUAGGAGCUCAUGACGGUACCGUAAGAAUAAGCACCGGCUAACUACGUGCCAGCAGCCGCGGUAAAGUG